rnacentral:lncRNA from 1 species
CACCUUUUUGUCCUGUUCCGGCUUCCACAGAUUGGACGAGGCCCACCCACCUUGGGGAGGGGCCAGCUGCUGUGUUCAGUCCGCCAUUGCAAACACGAAGCUCUUCCAGAAACGCCCUCACAGACACCCCGGAAGUCACGUACCCACUCUGUAGGUGCCCCGGGGCACAGGCAAGCGGACGAGCCAGUUAUCCCUCAGAGCUCCUGCUGCCUCGCCCGCUUUCUCUCGGAAACGUGAAGUGUGGCCUCAGCUGAAAGUGAGGUGGGCCUCAUUCAAUCAGUUGAAUUCUUCAAGAGAGAAAAACUGAAGUCCCUUAGAAGGAAAGAGUUCUGCCUUCAGACUGUCUUUGAACUUAAGACUGUAGCGUCGACUCCUGCCGGAAUUUCCAGCCUGCUGGCCAGCUCUGCAGAUUCACACUUGCCAGCCUCCACAAUCGCAGCUGAGGCGGAGGAACCCUAAGGGCUCAUUGAGAUCAUGGAUUUGCCCUUCUAUGCAUUGAUGGAGCACCUGCUGCCCACAGCGUCUGUAUUUGGUGCUGGGAUGCUGAGCCUCCUUCUUUAUGAAUUUUUAAAAGGACACUGAGAUCUUCAAACAGAGGCUGCCACUCUAAGCAAACAGAUCCCGAGCCCUGGACUCUGAAGCUUGGGCCCAGUUCUCCUUUUCUCCGGGUUUCAGAUCCCACUGUGAAGUGAGGGGGCCCUUCUGAUUCAGGACCCGGGGAAGCCAGGGGCAUGAGCAUCGGUGCCUCUUCUCUAUUUCAAGGACCCUUCUGGGUGUAAAGUUCUCUGAGAUGCCUUACAUGGAUUCCCACCACUGCAAGAUAACCAUCGUAUGUAAAGUGUUAUGACCAGCAGAGCGUAAUUGAAGUGCAUUCCAGAGGGAAAGACAGCGGCUCAGGUAGGCCUUGCCAGGCGUUUUGGGGUUUCACCCAUGGGAUGCUGCUUGUUUGCUGAUACCACUAAGCAAAUGAACAGUUGCAUUCUCUGAGAGGGAAACAGUCCAGCCAAAAUGGUGCAUGGCUCACCCAGGAUUCACGCCACACCCAGUGUCACCCCAGCAGCGGGGGGCCUGGGAACCACUUCUGUGUAAGGAGCUCAAACCUUCCCCUCAAAGUGGCUUUCCAGAGGGCCAGGCUCACUGAGUCAUGGUUUGUCCUUAUUUCCUACAG